AUUUAAACAUCGUUUUAAUUUUUUAGAAAAUUUUGGAAGAGUUUUUAUUUUUUAAAAAGAAAAAUAAAAUUUACUUUCAAUUUUAAUUUCAAAAUUAAUUUUAUAAAAAAUCUUCUUUAUUUUUUAAUUUUUUUUGGAAUUUAAAGAUCUUAUUAAGUUUUUAGAGAAUUUUUUAUAUUUAAUAUGUACCAAAUAAAAGUAAACAUGUUAGUAAGUACAUCGAAAGUGCCUGUAGCCCAGUUGUAAAAUACCUUGCCAUUUGACCAACCAACCUGGGUUCGAAUCCAGGGGUGUUCAUAUUUUUAAUUUCAAAACAUGUAAAACGACGUCGUUUCAUCUCAUUUGAAAACGACGUCGUUUCACUUAACGCCAACAAUAAACGACGUCAAAUAUUUCUGUUAAAUUUGUUGACGGCGUGCUAAAUUGGCAAGUCAGCGAAAACAUUGUUAAUUAAUUUUAAAGUCAAUGAAAGUUUGGUGUUUUUUUGGCCAGCCCAAAAGUUUAUGUUUCUUUUGGUAAUUCGUGCAAAGUUAAGGUUUUUUUUGGCCGAAUUCCCGUUUGAUAUUUGUUUUUAGUGCUAUUUCAAUGAAGCUUCUUUCAGACAGAAGAACAUAGGAAGAAGAAGAAGAAAGGCAUGUAAAAUAAACAAUAAAACAAGUUCUAUUUAUAUGAAAUAUGGAAGAAUGAAAGUGCCCCUUUUACUUGGUUGGUUCGAAAGGCCGCUUCUGUUCCAAGGUGAUGCAUCUACCGACCGAAUAAAGAGCAAAUUAUUUCGCUUCUUAUGUAUGAUCCCGUGUAAGAUUCUAUGACCAAUUUAGAAAAAAAAUAAAAAAUAAAGAUUCUGUGACCAACAUUGUAACCCAUGUUUACAACAAAAGUUAACCAUAUAUGUGUGUAUUUAUCGGAUUGAACAUAACGUCAUAAUUAAAUGUAUAAAAUACCAAUUCAACAUCAUCAACUACUUCUCGAGGCUUCUCUUUAAAGAAGAUGGAAGUUACGUUGUAUUUUGUACAGUGGAAACCAAAAAUAUCUAUCAUAUCAGUUUUGGUCUCAAACAAGUAAUAUAAAAGAUUGUUAUAUUUCUCCAAAAAAAUAAAAUCUAAACGCAUAUACAUCUUUUUAGAAAACAUUGAACCAAUCAAAACAAAGAUUUAACAUGAGAAAGAAAGAAUAAUGCUAAUGUUAAAAAAAAAAGAAUACAAGAACUUCAUAUAAUGUAUCUGGUUAAUUUGAUAAAUGACCAUAUUGAAAAAAUAUUAGAUUUGUAGUAACGGAUAGAGAGAGAUAGAAAAAGAAAAGAAGGAAAAAAUGAUGAUAUAGUUAGUUAGUGAAAUUUAGUUUUUUUGGUUAUAUGAUAAAAAAAUUUUAAUGUAAAAUGCAAUGAAAGAAAAAAUGAAGUUUCAAAGAUAAAUAAAUGGCUGUCGUAUGAUUAGUGAAUUUUUUUUAAUACAUAAUUCUUACAAUCUGAUUAGUUUUAUUCUAAUACUCUUCUCUUUUUGAUUAAUUUUUUUUUGUCAACAGAUUUAUUAAUGAGUAUGAUACGGAUGCCGCAUUUGGAGAAUGAGUACUAGGGUAACGUCAGAACUCCUGUUGGAGAUCAUAUAUCAAUUCAAUUGAAGAAAAAAUAAAAGAACUAAGGUAACGUCAGGCAAUAGCUAAUUUCGGUUAAAUAAUGCGAGAAAAUUGGUUCAAAUUUAUAUGCAGAUAAGGACACAACCUAUAUUAAAUAAAGUUGAAAGCAAAUUUGAUGAAAUCAGUUAUUUAAAGUCAACAUUAAUGCAAGAUUUGUAUAUAUUUAAAUUUUCUAAAAUCCUUCAUCCGUAAACUUAAAGUCAUCAUCGCUUAAUUAUAAGAUGAACGAGAAAAAUAUGUGGGCUUUGGCUCGCCUUCGGCCGUCUUCUCUAAAAUCAUUUUCUGUCAACGGAUCAAAUCAAAUCAUCUUAAAAAGAUGAACGAUGUUUAGCAAUUUAAGGCGACGGACCACAUUGAAGGUCCAUAAGAGAGGGAUAGACGGCAAAAUUAAAGUAUCCCAUAAGCACGAGAACAUGGGCGAGUCAGCAUAAGUCGGGAGAAAAUACGUCUUCUUCCUUGCGAAUAAUUAAGAGGUGAUGUACAUAUUAACUAAUGAGAUAUGUUUUUAUUUUAUUUUCAAUAUACUAGUUUAUAGUCAUCAUUAAUAUACAAAACAUAGGGCAUGGCUUACGCACUACGCAGACACUAAUUGAUUGAUCGUGAACUUGCUUGUUAUUAAUAACAAAUAAGCGGAAGUCAAUUAUAACUUUUUUAAGGUAAGUAAGUCCCACAUAUGGUUAUGGGUGUCUGAAUUGUAAUGUACUAUAUUGCUAUAAUAAAAUAUAGUCCAAGUUAAAGCUAUAUAACAACAACCCAUGAAUGAGGAACGAAAAUGAUAUAACUUUUUUUGGUAAAAGAAAAUGACAUAACUUGAAUUAAAGAAGAACAACAAGGAAAAUCUUUGUCAAAGUAGAACCACAAAUGACACUUGGUUUUGUCAUGGAUCCGAUCUUCACCGUCCAAGAAACUAACUCUCCUCCGGAAGCUGGCUUCUCAAACUACUGUCUUCUAUCUUUGGAAACAAAGAAAUAACCUAAUGCAUAAUCAUACUUCGAUCUCACCAGGAUCUAUCUUUUAUGCCUUUGAUAAACAAUUGAGGAACAUUAUUUCAGCUAAGAGAUGUAGUAAGCAUUUUUACGCACUCAUGUUGAUGUGGCUAAGAUAAGGUUUCUUGUAGGUUGAAAUCUCUAUGAAGAUACAUCUUGUUUUUUUUCAUUUCUUUUUGCCAAAAUGACUUAAACUUAAGAUAUUUCUUAUAAAAUUUUCUUUUCAUUAUAUGAUAUUUACAUUUUAGCAAAAAAAAAAAACUAGGGGGAUUUGAGUUUAAAAUUUCUCACUAUUAGACUUCGAUAGCUUUUUACAUAUAUGAAACUUCCCUUCGGAUACUCUUUAGACCCUCUAUGUACAAAUGUCUGCUUGGAAAUGAAUUUACCUUUUUCAAGCAUUUUUAAUUUAUUUAGAUAACUAAGUCAAUAAAUUAUUAGUUUCAUUUGGUGUAGAUAUCCAAUUUAGAGUUUCAACUGAUAAUGUUACUAUUAGAGUGUUCUCAACGGUGGGAUCUUAAAAAUAUCUCAACUUUAAAAAUAAAAUAAAAAUAUUGAUAGAGUGGAGAGACAAAAUGAGAAGCAAUCUCUCAUAUAAGACUCUAUUAGAAACCCACUAAAAUUUCCUUUGCCAAAUAUAUUUUUUCAAUGGGUAGAAUUCUUUUAGCAGUUUGAAUUUUAUUUUUCAAUUUUAAUUAUACACUAUAUUGUUAUUAUAACUUUUAAGAUACCUUUGCAGUAUCGAGAGCGAUAAUGGUGCUGUUAUAUUGUUGUGUGUUCAUAUAAACCUAAUAAUAAUGCAGAGUUUUGCAAAAGCCUAUUAGAAUAGAAUUAAAUUUUUCCUUUUCAAAUUUGUCUCUUUGGCACAAACUAGCUAUCAGCAUAUUGAAGACAUUAAGCUGCUCCAUCAAAAAUUUCAUGAUUAAUGAAGAGAACUAUGUGGGGAUAUGUAUGGAAAAGAGUAACAGAAUUUGGAGAAUUAUUUUGAUUGUAUUACAAAAUUAUGUGUAUCCCAAUGUAAAGCCCCAAAAGUGCAGCUUAUCCAUACCUAAAAUAACCCACGUAACAUUGUUCUUGUAUAUUAGGCCUUGUGGAGCAGCUAUUAAUAUUAUAAUAAAGCCCAAUUUUAUUUCAAUGUCUUGUAUAUAUGACUAUAUGUCUACUUGCAUUCUUCAGUUUUUUUCCUUUUGUCUAUUUCCAGAUAUAAUAAUAUGCAUCAUAAUAACGAUUCAGCCCAGUGUAUGAUUUAGAUUAUUCUAUAUUUCAAGCAUUGAGAAAAUCCAUAUAAAUCGGGGAGAAACAGAAAGAAUCAAAUUGUAUUGAUUAAAAAUCUCAGCUAAGUUUCAAAAAACAGAAACAAAGAGCUUGAGUCUUGACGGAGUGUUUUUAUGUAACGUAUAAAUUUUAAUUGUCACUAACUUACUAUGAUUUACAUUUUUUGUUUUAUAAUUUCGCUGGAAACAUUUAUGAAUGUGGAAUAGUUGUUGGUAAUAGACAAAAGAAUUGGCACAAAACUUCAACGCAGAGGACAGAGCAAUUCCAUGCACAAACACAGAGCAUGUUUCAAAAACAAAGGUGAUAAAUGAUAAUGAUUGGCAAAUGGCUAACAAUCUUUCUUUUAUUUUUUAGGGACAAUUCUACUCUCUCUCUCUUUUUUGAGUUUUAUGUGUUGGAUCGUUCAAAGCACACAAUUAUCUAUCUGUGAACUUAUAUACUCAACUUAUAUCUAUUAUGGUCCCUCAAUUUUUUGGGGGCCUUCUCGAAUUUAUGAACAUUAGAUUUUUCGAAACUGUACACCAAUAAAUUCAAACAAGAAUACAAAAGGAAGGCUGUCUUUCGAGUACUAAUUUGUACAGCUAUCGUUUAAAACAUGUCAGAAAGGAAGA